rnacentral:rRNA from 1 species
UCAAAAACAUCGCUGAUAAAAUAUUCUCAGUAAAAUCUGCCCAGUGAUUUAUUUAACGGCCGCAGUAUCCUGACUGUGCUAAGGUAGCAUAAUCAUUAGUUUUUUAAUUGAAAACUCGUAUGAAUGAUUCGACGAGAAAUUUUCUGUCUCUUAAGUACUUUAACUUGCUUGAAAAGUCAAAAAGCUUUUCUCUCCCAAGAGGACGACAAGACCCUAUAAAGCUUUACUCCUUUCCUAGAUCURCCCCUUAGAAAAAAACUCUCCAGGACGGAGUUUUACUGGGGCGGUAAAUUUUAUUAACAAAUUUUACGACAACAUAUUGAAUGAACUUCACAAACACAUUAAGUAAUCAAGAACAAGUUACUUUAGGGAUAACAGCGCAAUGUCUUUUUAGAGCCCUCAUCGGCAAAGGCGUUUACGACCUCGAUGUUGAAUUGAAGCCCCUCCGCGGGGCAGCCCCCGCGAAAGGAAGUCUGUUCGACUUUUAAUCCUUCACAUGAUCUGA